UUUUGAUUAAUGUCUCAAAUUAAUCAUCUUCAUUUCAUUUCACUCCAUAAUAUCACAUUUCAUUUCACUCCAUAAUAUCAUUUUUCAUAAAAAUAUGAAUAUAAAUUAAAAUAAGACAUGACUUAAAGGUCUCAGUUACCAGGUCAUAAAAUCCAUUACAAAUAGGAAUAAUUCCAGCGCACCCUGGCGGCCGUAGAUUACCAUUCUCGAAUAUUUAUAGUCUGUGGCAUGUCACUUUUUACAUCGAAAAAAGUCAGGAUCGAAAUUUUUGAGCGAGCCAUAGUUUGUGAACAUGCUGUUUUAUUCGUGUUUACAAUAAUCAACUCUUCCCGACAUCUAUUGGCGAAUAAUAAUACUAUUUUUCUUAAUUGAGGGCAACUAACCGCUUUAAAGACACAACAAGAUGGCGCUAUCAAAAAAAUCAAUCAUCACAGAUGACCACAGAUCAUAGAAACACAGUGUGGUCAUCAUCUAGUAUUCUAUAAGUUUACUAUAUAUUUUGACCAUUUUACUGUAAUGUUUUUAAGAAAUAUACGAAUAAUUAUUCGAUGAGAAUGUA